rnacentral:rRNA from 1 species
AGUGAACGCUGGCGGUAGGCCUAACACAUGCAAGUCGAACGGCAGCACAGUAAGAGCUUGCUCUUACGGGUGGCGAGUGGAGGACGGGUGAGGAAUACAUCGGAAUCUACUUUUUCGUGGGGGAUAACGUAGGGAAACUUACGCUAAUACCGCAUACGACCUACGGGUGAAAGCAGGGGAUCUUCGGACCUUGCGCGAUUGAAUGAGCCGAUGUCGGAUUAGCUAGUUGGCGGGGUAAAGGCCCACCAAGGCGACGAUCCGUAGCUGGUCUGAGAGGAUGAUCAGCCACACGGGAAGUGGGACACGGUCCAGACUCCUACGGGAGGCAACAGUGGGGAAUUUUGGACAAUGGGCGCAGGCCUGAUCCAGCCAUACCGCGUGGGUGAAUAAGGCCUUCGGGUUGUAAAGCCCUUUUGUUGGGAAAGAAAAGCAGCAGGUUAAUACCCCGCUGUUCUGACGGUACCCAAAGAAUAAGCACCGGCUAACUUCGUG